CACGUAGGAGGCGAGCGUUGUCCGGAAUCAUUGGGCGUAAAGGGCGCGUAGGCUGCGGGGCAAGUCGGGUGUGAAAUCUCAGAGCUCAACUCUGAAACUGCACUCGAUACUGCUUUGCUUGAGGACUGGAGAGGAGAUUGGAAUUCACGGUGUAGCAGUGAAAUGCGUAGAUAUCGUGAGGAAGACCAGUGGCGAAGGCGGAUCUCUGGACAGUUCCUGACGCUGAGGCGCGAAGGCCAGGGGAGCAAACGGG
rnacentral:rRNA from 1 species